AUACGGAGGGUGCAAGCGUUAUCUGGAUUCACUGGGUUUAAAGGGUGCGUAGGCGGGCAGAUAAGUCAGUGGUGAAAUCUUCGAGCUUAACUCGGAAACUGCCGUUGAUACUAUUUGUCUUGAAUAUUGUGGAGGUAAGCGGAAUAUGUCAUGUAGCGGUGAAAUGCUUAGAUAUGACAUAGAACACCAAUUGCGAGGGCAGCUUACUACACAAUGAUUGACGCUGAGGCACGAAAGCGUGGGGAUCAAACAGGAUUAGAUACCCUGGUAGUCCACGCCCUAAACGAUGAUUACUCGACAUACGCGAUAUACUGUGUGUGUCUGAGCGAAAGCAUUAAGUAAUCCACCUGGGAAGUACGAUCGCAAGAUUGAA
rnacentral:rRNA from 1 species